rnacentral:rRNA from 1 species
CCUACGGGGGGCAGCAGUGGGGAAUUUUGGACAAUGGGUGCAAGCCUGAUCCAGCCAUGCCGCGUGCAGGAUGAAGGCCUUCGGGUUGUAAACUGCUUUUGUACGGAACGAAAAGACUCCUUCUAAUAAAGGGGGUCCAUGACGGUACCGUAAGAAUAAGCACCGGCUAACUACGUGCCAGCAGCCGCGGUAAUACGUAGGGUGCGAGCGUUAAUCGGAAUUACUGGGCGUAAAGCGUGCGCAGGCGGUUAUAUAAGACAGAUGUGAGAUCCCCGGGCUCAACCUGGGAACUGCAUUUGUGACUGUAUAGCUAGAGUACGGUAGAGGGGGAUGGAAUUCCGCGUGUAGCAGUGAAAUGCGUAGAUAUGCGGAGGAACACCGAUGGCGAAGGCAAUCCCCUGGACCUGUACUGACGCUCAUGCACGAAAGCGUGGGGAGCAAACAGGAUUAGAUACCCUGGUAGUCCACGCCCUAAACGAUGUCAACUGGUUGUUGGGUCUUCACUGACUCAGUAACGAAGCUAACGCGUGAAGUUGACCGCCUGGGGAGUACGGCCGCAAGGUUGAAACUCAAAUGAAUUGACGG